rnacentral:rRNA from 1 species
UACGUAGGGUGCGAGCGUUAAUCGGAAUUACUGGGCGUAAAGCGUGCGCAGGCGGUUCGCCAAGUCAGGUGUGAAAUCCCCGGGCUUAACCUGGGAAUUGCGCUUGAAACUAGCGGGCUUGAGUGUGGCAGAGGGGGGUGGAAUUCCACGUGUAGCAGUGAAAUGCGUAGAGAUGUGGAGGAACACCGGUGGCGAAGGCAAUCCCCUGGGCCUGCACUGACGCUCAUGCACGAAAGCGUGGGGAGCAAACAGG